GACGAACGCUGGCGGCGUGCUUAACACAUGCAAGUCGAACGGAAAGGCCCUGCUUUUGUGGGGUGCUCGAGUGGCGAACGGGUGAGUAACACGUGAGUAACCUGCCCUUGACUUUGGGAUAACUUCAGGAAACUGGGGCUAAUACCGGAUAGGAGCUCCUGCUGCAUGGUGGGGGUUGGAAAGUUUCGGCGGUUGGGGAUGGGCUCGCGGCUUAUCAGCUUGUUGGUGGGGUAGUGGCUUACCAAGGCUUUGACGGGUAGCCGGCCUGAGAGGGUGACCGGCGACAUUGGGACUGAGAUACGGCCCAGACUCCUACGGGAGGCAGCAGUGGGGAAUAUUGCACAAUGGGCGGAAGCCUGAUGCAGCAACGCCGCGUGCGGGAUGACGGCCUUCGGGUUGUAAACCGCUUUCGCCUGUGACGAAGCGUGAGUGACGGUAAUGGGUAAAGAAGCACCGGCUAACUACGUG
rnacentral:rRNA from 1 species